UGCUUUCAAAGGAUAAUAGUUAAUCCAUUGGUCUUAGGAGCCAAAAACUCUUGGUGCAAAUCCAAGUGAAAGC
rnacentral:tRNA from 3 species